rnacentral:rRNA from 1 species
GUCGCAAGACCAAAGUGGGGGACCUUCGGGCCUCAUGCCAUCAGAUGUGCCCAGAUGGGAUUAGCUAGUAGGUGGGGUAACGGCUCACCUAGGCGACGAUCCCUAGCUGGUCUGAGAGGAUGACCAGCCACACUGGAACUGAGACACGGUCCAGACUCCUACGGGAGGCAGCAGUGGGGAAUAUUGCACAAUGGGCGCAAGCCUGAUGCAGCCAUGCCGCGUGUGUGAAGAAGGCCUUCGGGUUGUAAAGCACUUUCAGCGGGGAGGAAGGCGUUAAGGUUAAUAACCUUGGCGAUUGACGUUACCCGCAGAAGAAGCACCGGCUAACUCCGUGCCAGCAGCCGCGGUAAUACGGAGGGUGCAAGCGUUAAUCGGAAUUACUGGGCGUAAAGCGCACGCAGGCGGUCUGUCAAGUCGGAUGUGAAAUCCCCGGGCUCAACCUGGGAACUGCAUUCG